CCUUGUGAUAACCUCAGCCUUCAGACUUCAGGUUAGAUGCCAUUUCCUCUGAGAAGCCCGCCUCAUUCAGGAAGUCCGUGCUCUCUCAUAGUCUUCUGUGUUCCCUCCUCAAUGCAGUGUUUUAUAGCUUUUAAAAAAAUUCUGUGAUUGUAUUAUGCUCAGCAAACGAAGAGAGACUAUUCUUGUUUUCUGUGCCUAGGAUGUGCCUGGUGUAUGGAUCUGUCGCCAGUAGGACCAGAAAGCCAUAUGUGGUAUUACUUAUAAACCAUCUCUAGUAUAUAGAUUAAUAUAGAAUCAUCUUUCUUUAUGAGUUUUCCACCAAUAAACAUUGGUAGAUAUAA